rnacentral:tRNA from 1 species
GUUAUUUUGGCAGAAUAGUGCGAUUGAUUUAGAAUCAUUAUAUGUAGUUUAAAAUACAAAUAACA